CUAAGGAAUAAUACGGAGGCUACACAUACUUUGUCGAAACAAUGGUCAGUUUUGAGGGGUCUACCCUCAAACUUGUUCUUUGAAAACUAGAUAUUAUCAAUUAUUUUCCUUUAAUUAUUAAAGAUAAUUAAACCGAGAACACCGCGUUUAUUUUGAGUUUUUUAAUUAGUUUUAAAAUUCGCUAAUACUCGAUUAAUCGUUCAUCACGACGUGAUGAAUA
rnacentral:misc_RNA from 1 species